UGAAAAUAAAUAUUUCUCUACCUGCAAUUAUUCUUAAAAGAAGAGAAUGAAGAACAAUCCCCCAAACCCCUCUCGAACAAAUCGCAACGCCACCAGCCGCCUUACUCCUCCUCCCCCUCUCCGGAACACCUCCGCCGACAAGUCCAAUGGUUUCCCUUCUCUCUCUUCGUCCUACAAGGCCACCAUGAAGAGUUCCAUAGAAGCCAUAUCACAUGUCGUGGUGAACUCCAUUCAGUUUCGAUCUGAUGUGUGCAACUUGUAAAAGGGUUAAGUUAGGGGCUUCCAUGCUCAAAGCUUGACAUACGAUGAUCUGAUAGAACAGCAAAUAAUUGUGUGUCUACAAAUAGCUGCAAAAUACAUAGAAGAACACAUGAGCAAUUAAAAGUUCUAUGACUAAUCCAUUCAAGAAAAUUGAGAAUUGAGAAGAGUGCAUACUGCAAAGGCUCAACAAGUAACAUAUCAAAAUCUUCAGGAUACGUGCUUCAGUUAAUCACAAGUAUUAACUCAGCAGCAAGAGUGAUGGAAGAUUCAUAUAUAGAAAGUGUGGUGGUUCUCAUAAUCUGAAAAAUGACUUCCUUUUUUGAAAAGAAUAAGUCAUUUUUUCUAAAAGUGAGUUAAUUUUCCUUUAACUAAGAACAUAUAUUCCUUUGACUAAUUUUUUUUUAG